rnacentral:rRNA from 1 species
UCAUGCCUACGGGGGGCAGCAGUGAGGAAUAUUGGUCAAUGGCCGCAGGGCUGAACCAGCCAAGUCGCGUGAGGGAAGACUGCCCUAUGGGUUGUAAACCUCUUUUGUCAGGGAGCAACGCCGGCUACGUGUAGCCGGACUGAGAGUACCUGAAGAAAAAGCAUCGGCUAACUCCGUGCCAGCAGCCGCGGUAAUACGGAGGAUGCGAGCGUUAUCCGGAUUUAUUGGGUUUAAAGGGUGCGUAGGCGGAAUGCCAAGUCAGCGGUAAAAUCGCGGGGCUCAACCUCGCUCCGCCGUUGAAACUG